rnacentral:rRNA from 1 species
UACGUAGGGUGCGAGCGUUAAUCGGAAUUACUGGGCGUAAAGUGUGCGCAGGCGGCCGCGCAAGUCGAGUGUGAAAGCCCCGGGCUUAACUUGGGAAUUGCGCUCGAAACUACGUGGCUGGAGUAUGGCAGAGGAAGGUGGAAUUCCACGUGUAGCGGUGAAAUGCGUAGAGAUGUGGAGGAACACCGAUGGCGAAGACAGCCUUCUGGGCCAAUACUGACGCUCAUGCACGAAAGCGUGGGGAGCAAACAGG